rnacentral:rRNA from 1 species
UGGGGAAUAUUGCACAAUGGGCGCAAGCCUGAUGCAGCCAUGCCGCGUGUAUGAAGAAGGCCUUCGGGUUGUAAAGUACUUUCAGUCGGGAGGAAGGUGUCAAGGUUAAUAACCUUGGCAAUUGACGUUACCGACAGAAGAAGCACCGGCUAACUCCGUGCCAGCAGCCGCGGUAAUACGGAGGGUGCAAGCGUUAAUCGGAAUUACUGGGCGUAAAGCGCACGCAGGCGGUUGAUUGAGUCAGAUGUGAAAUCCCCGGGCUUAACCCGGGAAUUGCAUCUGAUACUGGUCAGCUAGAGUCUUGUAGAGGGGGGUAGAAUUCCAUGUGUAGCGGUGAAAUGCGUAGAGAUGUGGAGGAAUACCGGUGGCGAAGGCGACCCCCUGGACAAAGACUGACGCUCAGGUGCGAACGCGUGGGGAGCAAACAGG